UUGGUCCUUCCAUGGAGCAGUUCUCAGCACUCCCUUAUCUACUGUUUAUAGCGAAUUGACAAGGACAGUAAUCAUGACCCAAGAAAGGCAUGGUGAUCGGGGGUUUUCACACUUUAGCAGACAGGAUCUGGAUCACUCAACCAGAUAAGCCUCUUUCGCCAGCAAAGGUGCCAACAAAGUUUUAUUUACAGCCCUGAAGACGUGCACUCGGAAUCCAGCCUCUUUCUUCACCUGGUCCAGCUCAUGGACAGAUAGUGAAUCACCUAGAGGCUCAUCUUACUGGAGAUCAAUCAGAGGGGACUGGAAUCUGAACACUGGAUCCCAAGCUACAUUUCUUCAUGAGGAAAGGUGGCUGACAAGGCUGCAAGGUCGCACAGGCGAAAAUUCUCAGUCGAAGCUCCUUUCCAACUGAAAUGCCACACAUUUCCCUUUUUUAAGGUGACAGUUUCUAUCUAACCUUCUCUAACCCAGGACCU